rnacentral:rRNA from 1 species
AGGACGAACGCUGGCGGCGUGCUUAACACAUGCAAGUCGAGCGGAAAGGCCCUUCGGGGUACUCGAGCGGCGAACGGGUGAGUAACACGUGAGUAAUCUGCCCUUAGCUCUGGGAUAGCUCCGGGAAAACCGGGAUUAAUACCAGAUAUGACCACUUUAGACAUCUUUUGUGGUGGAAAGAAUUUCGGCUGGGGAUGAACUCGCGGCCUAUCAGCUUGUUGGUGAGGUAAUGGCUCACCAAGGCGACGACGGGUA